rnacentral:rRNA from 1 species
GGGGUGCUUAACACAUGCAAGUCGAACGGAAAGGCCCUGCUUUUGUGGGGUGCUCGAGUGGCGAACGGGUGAGUAACACGUGAGUAACCUGCCCUUGACUUUGGGAUAACUUCAGGAAACUGGGGCUAAUACCGGAUAGGAGCUCCUGCUGCAUGGUGGGGGUUGGAAAGUUUCGGCGGUUGGGGAUGGACUCGCGGCUUAUCAGCUUGUUGGUGGGGUAGUGGCUUACCAAGGCUUUGACGGGUAGCCGGCCUGAGAGGGUGACCGGCCACAUUGGGACUGAGAUACGGCCCAGACUCCUACGGGAGGCAGCAGUGGGGAAUAUUGCACAAUGGGCGGAAGCCUGAUGCAGCAACGCCGCGUGCGGGAUGACGGCCUUCGGGUUGUAAACCGCUUUCGCCUGUGACGAAGCGUGAGUGACGGUAAUGGGUAAAGAAGCACCGGCUAACUACGUGCCAGCAGCCGCGGUGAUACGUAGGGUGCGAGCGUUGUCCGGAUUUAUUGGGCGUAAAGGGCUCGUAGGUGGUUGAUCGCGUCGGAAGUGUAAUCUUGGGGCUUAACCCUGAGCGUGCUUUCGAUACGGGUUGACUUGAGGAAGGUAGGGGAGAAUGGAAUUCCUGGUGGAGCGGUGGAAUGCGCAGAUAUCAGGAGGAACACCAGUGGCGAAGGCGGUUCUCUGGGCCUUUCCUGACGCUGAGGAGCGAAAGCGUGGGGAGCGAACAGGCUUAGAUACCCUGGUAGUCCACGCUGUAAACGGUGGGUACUAGGUGUGGGGUCCAUUCCACGGGUUCCGUGCCGUAGCUAACGCUUUAAGUACCCCGCCUGGGGAGUACGGCCGCAAGGCUAAAACUCAAAGGAAUUGACGGGGCCCCGCACAAGCGGCGGAGCAUGCGGAUUAAUUCGAUGCAACGCGUAGAACCUUACCUGGGUUUGACAUGGAUCGGGAGUGCUCAGAGAUGGGUGUGCCUCUUUUGGGGUCGGUUCACAGGUGGUGCAUGGCUGUCGUCAGCUCGUGUCGUGAGAUGUUGGGUUAAGUCCCGCAACGAGCGCAACCCUUGUUCACUGUUGCCAGCACGUUAUGGUGGGGACUCAGUGGAGACCGCCGGGGUCAACUCGGAGGAAGGUGGGGAUGACGUCAAGUCAUCAUGCCCCUUAUGUCCAGGGCUUCACGCAUGCUACAAUGGCUGGUACAGAGAGUGGCGAGCCUGUGAGGGUGAGCGAAUCUCGGAAAGCCGGUCUCAGUUCGGAUUGGGGUCUGCAACUCGACCUCAUGAAGUCGGAGUCGCUAGUAAUCGCAGAUCAGCAACGCUGCGGUGAAUACGUUCCCGGGGCUUGUACACACCGCCCGUCAAGUCAUGAAAGUUGGUAACACCCGAAGCCGGUGGCCUAACCGUUGUGGGGGAGCCGUCGAAGGUGGGACUGGUGAUUAG